UGAGAUGUUGGGUUAAGUCCCGCAACGAGCGCAACCCUUUUCCUUUUUUGCCAGCGGGUUAAGUUGGGAACUCUAAGGAGACUGCCAGUGACAAACUGGAGGAAGGUGGGGAUGACGUCAAGUCAUCAUGGCCCUUACGGCCAGGGCUACACACGUGCUACAAUGGUCGGUACAAAGGGUUGCUACCUAGCGAUAGGAUGCUAAUCUCAAAAAGCCGAUCGUAUUCCGGAUUGGAGUCUGCAACUCGACUCCUUGAAGUCGGAAUCGCUAGUAAUCGCGGAUCACAAUGCCGCGGUGAAUACUUUCCCGGGUCUUGUAA
rnacentral:rRNA from 1 species